rnacentral:rRNA from 1 species
UACGUAGGGGCGAGCGUUAUCCGGAAUUAUUGGGCGUAAAGGGUUCGCAGGCGGCCUUGUAAGUCAGAUGUGAAAGACAGCGGCUUAACCGUUGUAAGCAUUUGAAACUGCAGGGCUUGAGUACAGGAGAGGAAAGCGGAAUUCCUAGUGUAGCGGUGGAAUGCGUAGAUAUUAGGAGGAACACCAGUUGCGAAGGCGGCUCUCUGGACUGUAACUGACACUGAGGCACGAAAGCGUGGGGAGCAAACAGGAUUAGAUACCCGCGUAGU